rnacentral:lncRNA from 10 species
AUGGGAGACCGAAGAGAGGGGUGGCAUGGAAAGCUCCAGGAACUUCUACUCUGUUCAAGUGACCAGUAAUUCACACGCAAGAAAUGCAGCCUCGUGAAUGGGGUCAUGACCAGUACCAGGAAAACAAGUGCUGCUGAUCUCCCGUCUCAGUUGGACAUGCAAAUCCAGAGCUUAAAGUAGAAGUCAGAACUGACUGGAGAUAUUAAUUUGGAGGUAAUCAACCAUGUGUAACAUACCACAUAUUAGAAUAAAGUUUUCUCCCCUUCUACUUGACCAAUAAAGCUUUGCAUUCUAUUUACUUUCCUGUUGAGAAAAGGUACUCAGUGGAAGUUUAAACACUUUCCACAAAGAGUGGAGUUCACUAAUGGUGAAAGAUCCUCCAAAACUUUCUUAUGAGCACCACCCAGAGCUUGUUCCAACUGAGCUUGUUUAGUUGGAAGUUGU